GCUGACCGCUUUCUUCUUUCCUAAUACAUGCAAGUCGAGCGAACGGACGAGAAGCUUGCUUCUCUGAUGUUAGCGGCGGACGGGUGAGUAACACGUGGAUAACCUACCUAUAAGACUGGGAUAACUUCGGGAAACCGGAGCUAAUACCGGAUAAUAUUUUGAACCGCAUGGUUCAAAAGUGAAAGACGGUCUUGCUGUCACUUAUAGAUGGAUCCGCGCUGCAUUAGCUAGUUGGUAAGGUAACGGCUUACCAAGGCAACGAUGCAUAGCCGACCUGAGAGGGUGAUCGGCCACACUGGACCUGGACAACGGUCCGGACUCCUACGGGAGGCAGCAGUAGGGAAUCUUCCGCAAUGGGCGAAAGCCUGACGGAGCAACGCCGCGUGAGUGAUAAAGGUCUUCGGAUCGUAAAACUCUGUUAUUAGGGAAGAACAUAUGUGUAAGUAACUGUGCACAUCUUGACGGUACCUAAUCAGAAAGCCACGGCUAACUACGUG
rnacentral:rRNA from 1 species